UUCGGUAACAGUUGGUUGUCUUACAGGGGCAGGCUUUGUUGAAGUCUCAGGCUUUUCAUCAGAGAAAGUUGAACUCUUUCUCAUUGAUGGUGCAGGGGACACCCGUUCUUGCCUAAUAUGCUAAUAAAGACCUCAAGGGGAGGAAAAAAAAACAUUACCUUUGAAAGAUUGAGUCUUCUGAAUUGGUAUUUUCGAAUCCCUGCUAUUAUUAUGAGCAUGCAUCCAACUACUAUCAGCUAGAAGGGAGACUGCAAAGAAACGAAAUUUUACGUAAAAUGAUCAUGUUGAUAAAGGAGAAAUUACUAUAUGGUUUUGAACCUAUACUUGUUUCUAUGGUAUUGGCUAAUUUUUACUUGACAUGUAAUCGGUUUUUUAUUUUGU